rnacentral:rRNA from 1 species
UGGCGUCGUGGAGCUCACUCCCAACCCCUGUGACAUACCUAUACGUUGCCUCGGCGGAUCAGCCCGCGCCCCGUAAAACGGGACGGCCCGCCCGAGGACCCCUAAACUCUGUUUUUAGUGGAACUUCUGAGUAAAACAAACAAAUAAAUCAAAACUUUCAACAACGGAUCUCUUGGUUCUGGCAUCGAUGAAGAACGCAGCAAAAUGCGAUAAGUAAUGUGAAUUGCAGAAUUCAGUGAAUCAUCGAAUCUUUGAACGCACAUUGCGCCCGCCAGUAUUCUGGCGGGCAUGCCUGUUCGAGCGUCAUUUCAACCCUCAAGCUCAGCUUGGUGUUGGGACUCGCGGUAACCCGCGUUCCCCAAAUCGAUUGGCGGUCACGUCGAGCUUCCAUAGCGUAGUAAUCAUACACCUCGUUACUGGUAAUCGUCGCGGCCACGCCGUUAAACCCCAACUUCUGAAUGUUGACCUCGGAUCAGGUAGGAAUACCCGCUGAACUUAAGCAUAUCAAUAAGCGGAGGAA